UUACUUAAACCGGCAACCUUUUUAGCGAAAUAUGUGCCAAAAUUGCCAUUUCUGUGUCGGUUCGAGACCGUACUGCUCGUAUGGUAUACACCGAAUUUUUCCCGUUUCCUCCUGUUAGCGCACGCUUUCUUUCUUGAUGACAUUUUAUAACACGAAUGAAACAUCAACGUGUUCCUUCUUUACGCAUGGUUGCUUCCUUCAUUAUUUAGUUCAUAUAGUAUUUUUGAUACUGCCACGCUGGAAUUAAAAACACUAAUAGUUUUUGAAUAUUUACUAUCAAAUUGUGAAAACACGCCAAACUAAGUAUACAUCUGUUUUCUUCAAUCUCUGUAUACGUUUAUGUCAGAUGAGAUCACUUUGGGUCACGUGACACGAACCGUCAAAUCAGGAUGUUGAACCAUGAAAGCAUAG